UACGUAGGUGGCAAGCGUUGUCCGGAUUUAUUGGGUUUAAAGGGUGCGUAGGCGGCCCUGUAAGUCAGUGCUGAAAUAUCCUGGCUUAACCGGGAGGGUGGCAUUGAUACUGCGGGGCUAGAGUACAGAUGAGGUAGGCGGAAUUGACGGUGUAGCGGUGAAAUGCUUAGAUAUCGUCAAGAACACCUAUAGCGAAGGCAGCUUACUAGGCUGUAACUGACGCUGAGGCACGAAAGUGUGGGGAUCAAACAGG
rnacentral:rRNA from 1 species